rnacentral:rRNA from 1 species
UAGCCUCUGGAAGUCGAUUUAGCCAUGCUAGUUGCACGAGUUCAGACUCGUAGCAGAUAGCUCAGUAACACGUGGCCAAACUACCCUAUGGAUCCGAAUAACCUCGGGAAACUGAGGCUAAUUCGGAAUACGAUUCACCACCUGGAGUGGUGUGAAUCCGAAACGCUCCGGCGCCAUAGGAUGUGGCUGCGGCCGAUUAGGUAGACGGUGGGGUAACGGCCCACCGUGCCCAUAAUCGGUACGGGUUGUGAGAGCAAGAGCCCGGAGACGGUAUCUGAGACAAGAUACCGGGCCCUACGGGGCGCAGCAGGCGCGAAACCUUUACACUGCACGAAAGUGCGAUAAGGGGACUCCAAGUGCGAGGGCAUAUAGUCCUCGCUUUUUGCGACCGUAAGGUGGUCGCGGAAUAAGUGCUGGGCAAGACCGGUGCCAGCCGCCGCGGUAAUACCGGCAGCACGAGUGAUGACCGCUAUUAUUGGGCCUAAAGCGUCCGUAGCUGGCCGUGCAAGUCCAUCGGGAAAUCCGCGCGCUUAACGCGCGGGCGUCCGGUGGAAACUGCAUGGCUUGGGACCGGAAGACCAGAGGGGUACGUCCGGGGUAGGAGUGAAAUCCCGUAAUCCUGGACGGACCACCGGUGGCGAAAGCGCCUCUGGAAGACGGAUCCGACGGUGAGGGACGAAAGCUCGGGUCACGAACCGGAUUAGAUACCCGGGUAGUCCGAGCUGUAAACGAUGUCUGCUAGGUGUGGCACAGGCUACGAGC